CCUACGGGUGGCAGCAGUGAGGAAUAUUGGUCAAUGGACGAGAGUCUGAACCAGCCAAGUAGCGUGAAGGAUGACUGCCCUAUGGGUUGUAAACUUCUUUUAUAUGGGAAUAAAAUGUUCCACGUGUGGGAUUUUGUAUGUCCCAUAUGAAUAAGAAUCGUCUAACUCCGUGCCAGCAGCCGCGGUACUACGGAGGAACCGAGCGUUAUCCGGAUUUAUUGGGUUUAAAGGGAGCGUAGGUGGAUUGUUAAGUCAGUUGUGAAAGUUUGCGGCUCAACCGUAAAAUUGCAGUUGAAACGGGCAGUCGUGAGUACAGUAGAGGUGGGCGGAAUUCGUGGUGUAGCGGUGAAAUGCUUAGAUAGCACGAAGAACUCCGAUUGCGAAGGCAGCUCACUGGACUGCAACUGACACUGAGGCUCGAAAGUGUGGGUAUCAAACAGGAUUAGAUACCCCAGUAGUC
rnacentral:rRNA from 1 species